rnacentral:sRNA from 1 species
ACUAUGUCAAAUUGUAGGGGAACACCCGUUAGAACUUUCUUUACAUUCUCUUGCUGCCAUGUUUUAAAGAAUGAAGAGAGUGAUAAUGAACUCUCAAGUGGAACAGGUGAUGUGUCUAAGGACUGUCCUGAGAAGAUCCUAUAUUCUUGGGGAGAAUUGCUAGGAAAAUGGCACAGUAACCUUGGUGCACGACCGAAAGGGCUGUCUACUCUGGUGAAAAGUGGUGUCCCUGAAGCAUUGAGGGCAGAGGUAUGGCAGUUAUUGGCAGGCUGCCAUGACAACCAGGCAAUGCUGGAUAGAUACCGAAUUCUUAUCACAAAGGACUCAGCCCAGGAGAGUGUUAUUACUCGAGAUAUUCAUCGUACAUUUCCCGCACAUGAUUACUUUAAAGAUACUGGAGGAGAUGGUCAGGAAUCGCUCUAUAAGAUCUGCAAG